rnacentral:rRNA from 1 species
UACUCCUACGGGAGGCAGCAGUGGGGAAUAUUGGACAAUGGGCGCAAGCCUGAUCCAGCCAUACCGCGUGGGUGAAGAAGGCCUUCGGGUUGUAAAGCCCUUUUGUUGGGAAAGAAAUCCAGCUGGUUAAUACCCGGUUGGGAUGACGGUACCCAAAGAAUAAGCACCGGCUAACUUCGUGCCAGCAGCCGCGGUAAUACGAAGGGUGCAAGCGUUACUCGGAAUUACUGGGCGUAAAGCGUACGUAGGUGGUCGUUUAAGUCCGUUGUGAAAGCCCUGGGCUCAACCUGGGAACUGCAGUGGAUACUGGACGACUAGAGUGUGGUAGAGGGUAGCGGAAUUCCUGGUGUAGCAGUGAAAUGCGUAGAGAUCAGGAGGAACAUCCAUGGCGAAGGCAGCUACCUGGACCAACACUGACACUGAGGCACGAAAGCGUGGGGAGCAAACAGGAUUAGAUACCCUGGUAGUCCACGCCCUAAACGAUGCGAACUGGAUGUUGGGUGCAAUUUGGCACGCAGUAUCGAAGCUAACGCGUUAAGUUCGCCGCCUGGGGAGUACGGUCGCAAGACUGAAACUCAAAGGAAUUGACGGA